UGAGGAGGCGCUGUUGGUGUCUAAGGGUUGGUGAAAAAUAAACGGAGUCGCCUGGGAUUGAGAGAGGGGACGGGAGUCCCUGCCGACCGCCCGCCUGCUCAGACAAUGAGAAGCCGGAAUGGUGUUUUAACAUUGUCUAACUAAAGCUUUAAAAUGCUUGAGCAAGACAAAAAGUCCAAAGUUGCAGUAAAAACAUCAGACACCAAACUCAAAAGAAGUCCAGACAAAGAAUAUUCAGACCUCAAGCGGCUACUCAAUCUCUUGAAUGUACCUGCAAGCAAGCAGCAGGAUGUCUCAAAACGCUUUUUUCUUUCCCAUCCUUGGUUGGAUGUGGUGGCAAGAGAUUUAAACGCAGUGGAUUUGGAAGAAGAAUGAGUGACUGACAGGAGGAGAUGGAGAAGGGUAAUCGACCAGCAUUGUGGAAACCCCAAGAAAAAUGGGAGAAGCUGAAAGACGAAGCCAAACAAUCCCACAAACAAUGAUCAGACCAAGGCUCUGCAGUCCUGCCACAUCCAGUCAUAAAUGGUGGUAUGACAAUUAAACAAUUAAGGGGAGGAAGAGGCUCCACAACAUGCUCAUUGUGAAUGAUGUCGGAGCCUAGCACAUUAGUGCGAAAGACAAGCUGAGACAUUUACAACCAUAUUCAGUCAGAAUUGCUGAGGAGAUGUUACAUCUCGGCCUCCUCCUGAGGAUCCUUCAGCC